UACAGAGGUCCCGAGCGUUGUUCGGAUUCAUUGGGCGUAAAGGGUGCGUAGGCGGUUUGCUAAGUUUGAUGUGAAAUCCCGGGGCUUAACCCUGGAAUUGCAUUGAAUACUGGUGAACUAGAGUACUGGAGAGGAAACUGGAAUUUACGGUGUAGCAGUGAAAUGCGUAGAGAUCGUAAGGAAGACCAGUGGCGAAGGCGAGUUUCUGGACAGUUACUGACGCUGAGGCACGAAGGCCAGGGGAGCAAACGGG
rnacentral:rRNA from 1 species